rnacentral:lncRNA from 1 species
UUGAGGGGAGGUGUGAUCAGGUGGAGAGAUUUGAGGAGGGAUUUUAGGAGAAAAUCAAGGGAAAUAAGGGGAGAGAGAGUGUUGUGCAGGAAGUGGACUCUGGCACUCAAGAAUUUUGGCCAGGGUGGUACUCCUCAUUUGGUAUGCCUCAUUCUGGGUUUUUUUUUCCUUUUUUCUUCUCUUUGGCCGAAUGUGGUAGGAGUUUUUGGCAUAUUCUUCUAUUCCACUUUUGACAACCUUCCUUUUUGGUCGAAAUUACUCUAAGUGUCUCAUUUCUUUUCUCUCGUUUGCAAUUUCUUUCUCUGCUUAAGUCUACCGUAUCUCUCUUUUUUUCUUUUUUUGAAUGGUGCAAGGUGUG